rnacentral:rRNA from 1 species
GAUGAACGCUGGCGGCGUGCCUAAUACAUGCAAGUCGAGCGAACAGACGAGGAGCUUGCUCCUCUGACGUUAGCGGCGGACGGGUGAGUAACACGUGGAUAACCUACCUAUAAGACUGGGAUAACUUCGGGACACCGGAGCUAAUACCGGAUAAUAUAUUGAACCGCAUGGUUCAAUAGUGAAUGACGGUUUUGCUGUCACUUAUAGAUGGAUCCGCGCCGCAUUAGCUAGUUGGUACGUUAACGGCUUACCAAGGCGACGAUGCGUAGCCGACCUGAGAGGGUGGUAGGCCACACGGGAACGUGGACAGGGUCAAGACUACUACGGGAGGCAGCAGUAGGGAAUGGUCCGCAAUGGGCGAAAGCCUGACGGAACAACGGCGCGUGAGUGAUGAAGGUCUUCGGAUCGUAAAACUGUGUUAUGAGGGAAGAACAGAUGUGUAAGUAACUAUGCACGGCGUGACGGUAACUAAUCAGAAAGCCACGGCUAACUACGUG